UGGGGUCAUCUGAUAUAUCAAAUUGGAGGUCUUAAUAAACUCUACUUAAAAAUGAAAAUUUUAAACCCCCUUUUCAUCCCAUGGGGACGGGUGGGGUCAUUUAGUGCAAACAUUCAAAUUUCUCAGAUGGUAAGGUUGUCGCAUAUCAAAUGAAAGAACAUAAAGCGUACAUUACAAAUUUCAAAUUGACGUCUCCCAAAAAUGGCUUGGAU
rnacentral:lncRNA from 1 species